rnacentral:rRNA from 1 species
CCUACGGGUGGCAGCAGUGGGGAAUAUUGCACAAUGGGGGAAACCCUGAUGCAGCGACGCCGCGUGAGUGAAGAAGUAUUUCGGUAUGUAAAGCUCUAUCAGCAGGGAAGAAAAUGACGGUACCUGACUACGAAGCCCUGGCUAACUACGUGCCAGCAGCCGCGGUAAUACGUAGGGGGCAAGCGUUAUCCGGAUUUACUGGGUGUAAAGGGAGCGUAGAUGGCCAGACAAGUCAGGAGUGAAAGCCCAGGGGCAAACCCGGGGACUGCUUUUGAAACUGCCGGGCUGGAGUGGAGGAGAGGUAAGCGGAAUGCCCGGUGUAGCGGUGAAAUGCGUAGAUAUUAGGAGGAACACCAGUGGCGAAGGCGGCUUACUGGACUGUAACUGACGUUGAGGCUCGAAAGCGUGGGGAGCAAACAGGAUUAGAUACCCCAGUAGUC